UCCGGAAGUAAAGUAUUAGGAGCUUUCCCUUAAGGGCAAUUACCUAACACUAACCUCAAAACUGGGUCAACCAUUUAAAGUAAUGUCGAUGAAAACGCUGUUACAGGUAUGACACAAUAUGGUUAAAAUUACCCUCCAAUAAAGGCUUUCUCUGAACACGCCUCUUAACUGCAGGCCCAAACAACCGUAUUUGACGGAAGGAGGAAGCAAAUCGAAAGGAGGAGCUUAACAAUCCUUGGCGAUCUGGGAGUAUUAAAAGCAAAGCCACCUUAUUCAGGAAAUGUCUUCUAUCCAAAGCUUGCCUAGAAAUAGCUACAGUAAUCUUGGAACACAUAUUCACUUUUGUUUUUGUUGUCGUUUUUUAAUUUUCGAAUAGUGAAGUCGGUGAAGCGUGAUAUCGCAUUAACAAGACGAUUGUGAUUUAUUAGUGCUUUCUUCAGGAUUAACAAGCCCCAAAUAGUUCUUCGACCAUGAAACUUUUCAGCUACGCACUCUUGAUUGGUAUUCUUCUGGCCUUCGCUGUUCAAGAUUCUGAGGCUCACGUAAAGAAACUGUUGAAACUUGGGUUAGUAGGAGCUUUGUUAGCCCCAAAGGUGUUGCCACUUCCAAUUCCCAUCCCCAUCCCCAUCGCUAUCACUUCUUAUAAGGAAUACACGCCAUAUUACCAUGGAGGUUACAACUAUGGCGGUCAUGGUGGUCAUGGAGUUUACAGUUAUGGCAGCUACGGUGGCUGGUGGUAAAGAAACGGCCUUUCUCUACACUCGCCUAAGCUAAUUAUGUGUAUUUUGUUUGUUCAAUCCUAAAAUAUAUCACAAUGCCUAACACCCAGGAUUGAUGUUUAAACUGUAUCAAAUAUUUACUAAUGAGUUUACCAUUCUAACUGCAUGGAGUGUUAUGUGUUUUCAUGUUCUGUUUUUAAGGUUCUCAGUACAGCGUAUAAAGUAUGUUAACUGUUGCCCAAAACUAACUAAGAAGACGUAUGUUAAUGUUAUAACUCCUUUUAAGUACACUGAAAACUAAAUAUUUAUU